rnacentral:snRNA from 1 species
AAGAUUUACCAACUAUGCUACUAUCUCAUU